UUUUACCUACGGGAGGCAGCAGUGAGGAAUAUUGGUCAAUGGGCUUACGCCUGAACCAGCCAAGUCGCGUGAGGGAAGACUGCCCUAUGGGUUGUAAACCUCUUUUGUCAGGGAGCAACGCCGGCUACGUGUAGCCGGACUGAGAGUACCUGAAGAAAAAGCAUCGGCUAACUCCGUGCCAGCAGCCGCGGUAAUACGGAGGAUGCGAGCGUUAUCCGGAUUUAUUGGGUUUAAAGGGUGCGCAGGCGGCGAGUUAAGUCAGCGGUAAAAUUUCGGGGCUCAACCCCGACGAGCCGUUGAAACUG
rnacentral:rRNA from 1 species